rnacentral:sRNA from 1 species
AUUCAUGGGGCUUGAAUAUAUCGUGAUUUUACCACGAGUUGUCCCUUUAUGACAAAUAUCGGCAUAAAGGGACAACCCGUGGUAAAAUCUAGAUAUAUUCAAGCC